rnacentral:rRNA from 1 species
GAUGAACGCUGGCGGCGUGCUUAACACAUGCAAGUCGAACGGAAAGGCCCAAGCUUGCUUGGGUACUCGAGUGGCGAACGGGUGAGUAACACGUGGGUGAUCUGCCCUGCACUUCGGGAUAAGCCUGGGAAACUGGGUCUAAUACCGGAUAGGACCACAUUUUGGAUGGUGUGGUGGAAUGUUUUUCGGUGUGGGUUUAGCUCGCGGCCUAUCAGCCUGUUGGUGGGGUAAUUGACUACCAAGGCGUCGACGGGUAGCCGGCCUGAGAGGGUGUACGGCCACAUUGGGACUGAGGUACGGCCCAGACUCCUACGGGAGGCAGCAGUGGGGAAUAUUGCAGAAGGGGCGCAAGGCUGAUGCAGCGACGCCGCGGGGGGGAUGACGGCCUUCGGGUUGUAAACUCCUUUCGCAAGGGACGAAGCGCAAGUGACGGUACCUGGAGAAGAAGCACCGGCUAACUACGUG